CACGUAGGGCGCGAGCGUUGUCCGGAAUUAUUGGGCGUAAAGAGCUCGUAGGCGGCCUGUUGCGUCCGCUGUGAAAGCCCGGGGCUUAACCCCGGGUCGCAGUGGAUACGGGCAGGCUAGAGGUAGGUAGGGGAGAAUGGAAUUCCCGGUGUAGCGGUGAAAUGCGCAGAUAUCGGGAGGAACACCGGUGGCGAAGGCGGUUCUCUGGGCCUUACCUGACGCUGAGGAGCGAAAGCGUGGGGAGCGAACAGGA
rnacentral:rRNA from 1 species